rnacentral:lncRNA from 1 species
CGCGGCUCCUCCGGGUAGUGACUGUCGCCGGUGCUGGCCGUCGCUGUCUCUCGCAGGCCUCCCUGCUGCUCAGCUCGGGGCCCCGGUGUCCGGCCCCGCCGCGACCGCCUGCCACCCUCGCUCCGGCGGACCAUCAGCUUCUUCUGAAUGUUGCCCAUGGCCGCUGUAGAGAAGGGCGCACCGGGAGGUGAGUACAUACAUCCCUGUCCCGCGAUCCAGCCUGGCCAGUGCGGGCGGCGCCACCCUGCGGGCGGAGUCCCAGCUCCCCGCCACCCCGAGUGGGCGUCCUGCUUGGCCUGUCCCAGGAUCUCCAAGGACCCGGUCCAGCGCCCAUCUGCACCAAGCCAGCCGAGAUUAACCCCUUAACUGCUGGAGAGCAAGCGCCUUUCAAAACCAUCUCCUACACCAGACCACACCUGUCCAGACAACAACAGCACUGUAAGAACCUGGAUGUUCACUGUGUGUUUGGUUUAGAGACUGGGCUUAGGGAGCCCACGCUGGCCUUGAAUUUGCUACAUAGACAACAAUGGCCUGGAACUUCUGAGCUCCUUCCUCCGCCUCCCAAAUGCUGGGAUUAGAGACAAAAGUUUCUAUGCCAGGCUCAGAUGCUCACUUUGUCUGACUGCUUUCCAGACUGUAUAAAAGAUAAAGUACCAAAGCCACGGCUGUGUCACAGUGAACAUUUCUAACAGUCCCGCUAGGGAAGA